CGCCCGCCGCGCCCCGCGCCCGGCCCGCCGCCCCCGCCCCCAGCCGCCGCGGUAAUACGUAGGGACCGAGCGUUGUCCGGAUUCAUUGGGCGUAAAGAGCUCGUAGGCGGCUGUUCAAGUCGAACGUGAAAACUCGGAGCUCAACUCCGAGCCUGCGUUCGAUACUGGAUGGCUAGAGUCUGGUAGGGGGAUCUUGAAUUCCUGGUGUAGCGGUGGAAUGCGCAGAUAUCAGGAGGAACACCGGUGGCGAAGGCGGGAUCCUGGGCCAGUACUGACGCUGAGGAGCGAAAGCGUGGGGAGCAAACAGGAUUAGAUACCCUGGUAGUCCACGCCGUAAACGAUGGGCGCUAGGUGUGGGAGGUCAUCGACUCCUUCCGUGCCGCAGCUAACGCAUUAAGCGCCCCGCCUGGGGAGUACGGCCGCAAGGCUAAAACUCAAAGGAAUUGACGG
rnacentral:rRNA from 1 species